ensembl:lncRNA
GAUGCAGCCACACCUGAAUUACUUCUAGAUGAGAAAACGAUUUGGCUGAUAUAUUUCUCCAGUUGUCAGUACGUCUAGGAACACAUCUAGCUGAUUAAUUAGUGCUGCGGAGAUCCCGGGGAGGCCUUUAUCUGAAGAGCAGUUCAACCAUUAGCAAAGGAAACUUCCUUGUGCACCAGCAGCUCAGAUAACAAGCAAACCAGAAUCCUGGAUAUAAUUUGAUCUUCAUUAUGGAGAGGGAAGCUGCAUCAGAUAAUAGGAGACCUGAAGAGUUUAAGUAACAGAGGCUCAACCACACGUUCCCCAUCCGGCUCUGCUCCGCAGCUGAGGCAGUUGUUCAUGGCUCAAGUUAAUUUGAUAGGACCGGGAGAAAGAAUAUUUUGAGUCCAAGUCCUGAGGCUAUGGGCCUUUGCUCUCUAAACGCCCAUCCACAAAAUCUACCCAGAAUCUUAGAUUUAUAUCUCACAAAGGGAGAUGCCAAGACUGCUUCUUUGCACAGGUCACCGUACACUUCCUAGCUUGAGGCCUUUGCACAAUCCAUGCAAGCUGUGAAAUGAUUCCUUUCCAUGGAGCCCCAGAACAAAGAAGUUCACUCUGCUUUCUGGUAAGCCUCGCUGAGCCAUCUAGAAUUGUGGUUUAAGCUCCACAGCCUUGAACCUUUUGCAAACAAUAUCAUUUCUUUCAAAUGAAGAUAAUAGCAAGCAAGACUACUAUCAUUAUUACUUUCUCUUUCACUCUUUCUUCUCUGUGAAUGUUUCAAGGUUUGGAGACAGAAAAAAAAAUAAAUAAAUAAAUCCGGGUUUGCA